UGGGCGGAGCCUGACAGCCAUGCCGCGUGCAGGAUGACUGCCCUAUGGGUUGUAAACUGCUUUUGUCCAGGAAUAACCCCAGAUACGUGUAUCUGGCUGAAUGUACUGGAAGAAUAAGGAUCGGCUAACUCCGUGCCAGCAGCCGCGGUAAUACGGAGGAUCCGAGCGUUAUCCGGAUUUAUUGGGUUUAAAGGGUGCGUAGGCGGCCWRUUAAGUCAGGGGUGAAAUACGGUGGCUCAACCAUCGCAGUGCCUUUGAUACUGACGGGCUUGAAUCCAUUUGAAGUGGGCGGAAUAAGACAAGUAGCGGUGAAAUGCAUAGAUAUGUCUUAGAACUCCGAUUGCGAAGGCAGCUCACUAAGCUGGUAUUGACGCUGAUGCACGAAAGCGUGGGGAUCGAACAGGAUUAGAUACCCUGGUAGUCCACGCCCUAAACGAUGAUAACUCGAUGUUGGCGAUAGACAGCCAGCGUCCCAGCGAAAGCGUUAAGUUAUCCACCUGGGGAGUACGCCCGCAAGGGUGAAACUCAAAGGAAUUGACGGGGGCCCGCACAAGCGGAGGAGCAUGUGGUUUAAUUCGAUGAUACGCGAGGAACCUUACCCGGGCUUGAAAGUUAGUGAAGGAUGCAGAGACGCAUCCGUCCUUCGGGACACGAAACUAGGUGCUGCAUGGCUGUCGUCAGCUCGUGCCGUGAGGUGUUGGGUUAAGUCCCGCAACGAGCGCAACCCCUAUGUUUAGUUGCCAGCAUUUAAGGUGGGGACUCUAAACAGACUGCCUGUGCAAACAGAGAGGAAGGUGGGGACGACGUCAAGUCAUCAUGGCCCUUACGUCCGGGGCUACACACGUGCUACAAUGGAUGGUACAGCGGCAGCUACAUAGCAUAUGAUGCUAAUCUCUAAAAGCAUUCACAGUUCGGAUUGGGUCUGCAACUCGACCCAUGAAGUUGGAUUCGCUAGUAAUCGCGUAUCAGCAAUGACGCGUGAAUACGUUCCGGGCCUGUACACACCGCCGUCAGCAUGAAGUGGGGGUACUAAGCWGUACCGCAAGAYSUGUAGGUAAACGAUAAUGGCUAAGUC
rnacentral:rRNA from 1 species